GUGCUCCCCCGCCAAUUCCUUUAAGUUUCAACCUUGCGGUCGUACUUCCCAAGUGGCCCGCUUCACGGCUUCCCUACGGCACCACGGCAGUUCACGACUGCCGUGACACCUAGCGGGCAUCGUUUACGGCUGGGACUACCCGGGUAUCUAAUCCGGUUCGUGCCCCUAGCUUUCGUCCCUCACCGUCGGACCUGUUCUGGUAGGACGCCUUCGCCACCGGUGGUCCCCAGAGGAUUACAGGAUUUCACUCCUACCCCCUGAGUACCUCCUACCUCUCCCAGUCCCAAGCAAUGUAGUAUCCCGCAGACGCCCAACGGUUAAGCCGCUGGAUUUCCCACAAGACUUGCAAAGCCGGCUACGGACCCUUUAGACUCAAUAAUAUCGGCCACCACUCGAGCCGCCGGUAUUACCGCGGCGGCUGGCACCGGUCUUGCCCGGCCCUUGCUAACAGCCGUUUUUUAGACAGCUGGACAGACACCUAAUGUAGAUGCCACUCGAUGUUCCCCUAUCGCAGUUGCCUGCAUUGUAGAGUUUUCGCGCCUGCUGCGCCCCGUAGGGCCUGGAUUCGUGUCUCAGAAUCCAUCUCCGGGCUCUUGCUCCCACAACCCGUACUGAUAAUCGGCACGCCGGUACUUUACACCGGCGUCAACCUAAUCAGCCGCAGACCCAUCCAAAGGCGCCAGAGCUUUCAAUCAAAAAACCCUUCCAGUACUCUUGACCUAUCCGGUAUUAUCCCCAGUUUCCCGGAGUUAUCCCAGACCUUUGGGUAGGUUGUCCACGUGUUACUGAGCCGU
rnacentral:rRNA from 1 species